rnacentral:rRNA from 1 species
ACGGGUGAGUAACGCGUGGGAAUGUGCCCUUUGGUACGGAACAACUGAGGGAAACUUCAGCUAAUACCGUAUGUGCCCUACGGGGGAAAGAUUUAUCGCCAUUGGAGCAGCCCGCGUUGGAUUAGGUAGUUGGUGGGGUAAUGGCCUACCAAGCCGACGAUCCAUAGCUGGUCUGAGAGGAUGAUCAGCCACACUGGGACUGAGACACGGCCCAGACUCCUACGGGAGGCAGCAGUGGGGAAUCUUGCGCAAUGGGCGAAAGCCUGACGCAGCCAUGCCGCGUGUAUGAUGAAGGUCUUAGGAUUGUAAAAUACCUUCACCGGGGAAGAUAAUGACGGUACCCGGAGAAGAAGCCCCGGCUAACUUCGUGCCAGCAGCCGCGGUAAUACGAAGGGGGCUAGCGUUGCUCGGAAUUACUGGGCGUAAAGGGCGCGUAGGCGGACAGUUUAGUCAGAGGUGAAAGCCCAGGGCUCAACCUUGGAAUUGCCUUUGAUACUGGCUGUCUUGAGUUCGGGAGAGGUGAGUGGAAUGCCGAGUGUAGAGGUGAAAUUCGUAGA